CAUUGGGGACAUUGGGGACAUCAUUGGGACAGGAUGGACCUGGCCUGGGGACAUUGGGGACAUCAUUGGGGACAUGGGACAGAAUGGACCUGGCCUGGGGACAUCAAUGGGGACAUUGAGGACACAUUGGGGACAUCACUGGGGACACAGGGGACAGGAUGGACCUGGCCUGGGGACACAUUGGGGACAUCAUUGGGGACACAGGGGACAGGUUGGACCUGGCCUGGUGACACAUUGGGGACAUCACUGGGGACAUCACUGGGGACAGGAUGGACCUGGCCUGGGGACAUCAAUGGGGACAUCAUUGGGGACAUCAUUGGGGACACAUUGGGGACAUCAUUGGGACAUUGGGGACACAUUGGGGACACCAUCGGGGACACUGGGGACAUCAUUGGGGACACAGGACAGGAUGGACCUGGCCUGGGGACAUCAAUGGGGACAUUAGGGACACUGGGGACAUCAUUGGGGACAUCACUGACAUCAUUGGGAACAAGAUGGAGCUGGCCUGGGGACACACUGGGGACAUUGGAGACAUCAGUGGGGACAUCAUUGGGGACAGGAUGGACCUGGCCUGGGGACAUCAAUGGGGACACUGGGGACAUCAUUGGGGACAAUGGGGACACACUGGGGACAUCAUUGGGACACCAUCGGGGACAUUGGGGACAGGAUGGACCUGGCCUGGGGACACACUGGGGACAUUGGGGACAUCACUGGGGACAUGGGACAGGAUGGACCUGGCCUGGGGACACAUUGGGGACAUCAUUGGGGACAUCACUAGGGACAGGAUGGACCUGGCCUGGGGACAUCAAUGGGGACAUUGGGGACACUGGGGACAUCAUUGGGGACAUCACUGACAUCAUUGGGAACAGGAUGGAGCUGGCCUGGGGACACACUGGGGACAUUGGAGACAUCAGUGGGGACAUCAUUGGGGACAGGAUGGACCUGGCCUGGGGACACAUUGGGGACAUCAUUGGGGACAUCACUGGGGACAGUGGGGACACUGGGACAGGGACAGGAACCGCACCCGGGUGGCGCGGGACAGGAUGGACCUGGCCUGGGGACAUCAAUGGGGACACUGGGGACACUGGGGACAUCAUUGGGGACAUCACUGACAUCAUUGGGGACAGGAUGGAGCUGGCCUGGGGACAUCAAUGGGGACAUUUGGGCCAUUGGAGACAUCACUGGGGACAUCAUUGGGGACAUUGGGGACAGGAUGGACCUGGCCUGGGGACAUCAUUGGGGACAUUGGGGACAGGAUGGACCUGGCCUGGGAACAUCACUGGGGACAUCAUUGGGGACACAGGGGACAGGUUGGACCUGGCCUGGGGACACACUGGGGACACUGGGGACAUCACUGGGGACAUUGGGGACAGGAUGGACCUGGCCUGGGGACAUUGGGGACAUCAAUGGGGACAUUGGGGACAGGAUGGAUCUGGCCUGGGGACAUCAUUGAGGACACAGGGACAGGAUGGACCUGGCCUGGGGACAUUGGGGACAUCGUUGGGGACCUUGGGGACAUCAACAGGAACCCCACCCGGGUGGCACGGGACAGGAUGGACCUGGCCUGGGGACACCAUUGGGGACAUCAUUGGGGACAUGGGACAGGAUAGACCUGGCCUGGGGACAUCAAUGGGGACAUCAUUGGGACAUUGGGGACAUCAUUGGGGACAUCAUUGGGAACAGGAUGGACCUGGCCUGGGGACAUCAAUGGGGACAUUGGGGACAUCAAUGGGGACACUGGGGACAUCAUUGGGGACAUUGGGGACACAUUGGGGACAUCAUUGGGACAUUGGGUACACAUUGGGGACACCAUCGGGGACAUUGGGGACAGGAUGGACCUGGCCUGGGGACAUUGGGGACAUCAUUGGGGACACGGGACAGGAUGGACCUGGCCUGGGGACACACUGGGGACAUUGGGGACAUCAUUGGGGACACAGGGGACAGGAUGGACCUGGCCUGGGAACAUCAAUGGGGACAUUGGGGACACUGGGGACAUCAUUGGGGACAUCACUGACAUCAUUGGGAACAGGAUGGACCUGGCCUGGGGACACACUGGGGACAUUGGGGACAUCAUUGGGGACAUCACUGGGGACAUUGGGGACAGGAUGGACCUGGCCUGGGGACAUCAUUGGGGACAUUGGGGACACUGGGACAGGGACAGGAUGGACCUGGCCUGGGGACAUUAUUGGGGACACCAUUGGGGACAUGGGGACUCAGGGGACAUUGGGGACAGGAGGGGGCAGCUCUGGG
rnacentral:lncRNA from 1 species